CCAGCAGCCGCGGUAACACCGGCAGCUCUAGUGGUAGCAAUUUUAUGGGCCUAAAGCGUCCGUAGCCGGUUUAAUAAGUCUCUGGUGAAAUCCUGCAGCUUAACUGUGGGAAUUGCUGGAGAUACUAGUUAGACUUGAGAUCGGGAGAGGUUAGAGGUACUCCCAGGGUAGAGGUGAAAUUCUGGUAAUCCUGGGAGGACCGCCUGUUGCGAAGGCGUCUAACUGGAACGAUUCUGACGGUGAGGGACGAAAGUUAGGGGCGCGAACCGGAUUAGAUACCCGGGUAGUCCUAACUGUAAACGAUGCGGACUUGGUGUUGGGGUGGCUUUGAGCUGCUCCAGUGCCGAAGGGAAGCUGUUAAGUCCGCCGCCUGGGAAGUACGGUCGCAAGACUGAAACUUAAGGAAUUGGCGGGGGAGCACCACAACGCGUGGAGCCUGCCGGUUUAAUUGGAUUCAACGCCGGACAUCUCACCAGAGGCGACAGCUGUAUGAUAGCCAGGUUGAUGACUUUGCUUGACUAGCUGAGGAGUGGUGCAUGG
rnacentral:rRNA from 1 species